UACGUAGGGAGCAAGCGUUGUCCGGAUUUAUUGGGCGUAAAGAGCUCGUAGGCGGCUUAGCAAGUCAGGUGUGAAACCUCCAGGCUCAACCUGGAGACGCCACUUGAUACUGCUAUGGCUUGAGUUUGGUAGGGGAAGACGGAAUUCCUGGUGUAGCGGUGAAAUGCGCAGAUAUCAGAGAGGAACACCGAUGGCGAAGGCAGCUCGCUGGGACGUGACUGACGCUGAGACGCGAAAGCGUGGGGAGCAAACAGG
rnacentral:rRNA from 1 species